ACCACUGAGCCACCUUCCCAGCCCCUACAUAUCUUUUAAAAAUGUAAUUUAAAAAUCACAUCAGAGGGGCUGGGAAGGUGGCUCAGUGGU
rfam:Dipodomys ordii contig_2424, whole genome shotgun sequence.